UCACCGGGAGACAACCUGGUAU
rnacentral:miRNA from 1 species